UCAAACUUGGUCAUUUAGAGGAAGUAAAAGUCGUAACAAGGUUUCCGUAGGUGAACCUGCGGAAGGAUCAUUACAGAGAACACUGCCUCAAGUGGGGUAGAGGUCUCCCACCCUGUUUACUCUACCUUUGUUGCCUUGGCAGGCCCGUCGAAUUUGACCGCCGGCUUCAGCUGGUCAGUGCCUGCCAGAGGACCCUAAACUUCUAAAUUUUGUUUGUCAGAGUACUAUAAAAUUGUUAAAACUUUCAACAACGGAUCUCUUGGUUCUGGCAUCGAUGAAGAACGCAGC
rnacentral:misc_RNA from 1 species